UACGUAGGGUGCAAGCGUUGUCCGGAAUUAUUGGGCGUAAAGGGCUCGUAGGCGGUUUGUCGCGUCGGGAGUGAAAACCUUGGGCUUAACUCAGGGCUUGCUUUCGAUACGGGCAGACUAGAGGUAUGCAGGGGAGAACGGAAUUCCUGGUGUAGCGGUGAAAUGCGCAGAUAUCAGGAGGAACACCGGCGGCGAAGGCGGUUCUCUGGGCAUGAUCUGACGCUGAGGAGCGAAAGUGUGGGGAGCGAACAGG
rnacentral:rRNA from 1 species